CCUACGGGUGGCAGCAGUGGGGAAUAUUGGACAAUGGGGGCAACCCUGAUCCAGCCAUGCCGCGUGUGUGAAGAAGGCCCUCGGGUUGUAAAGCACUUUCAGUGAGGAAGAACGCCUGGUGGUUAAUACCCAUCAGGAAAGACAUCACUCACAGAAGAAGCACCGGCUAACUCCGUGCCAGCAGCCGCGGUAAUACGGAGGGUGCGAGCGUUAAUCGGAAUUACUGGGCGUAAAGCGCGCGUAGGUGGCUUGAUAAGCCGGUUGUGAAAGCCCCGGGCUCAACCUGGGAACGGCAUCCGGAACUGUCAAGCUAGAGUGCAGGAGAGGAAGGUAGAAUUCCCGGUGUAGCGGUGAAAUGCGUAGAGAUCGGGAGGAAUACCAGUGGCGAAGGCGGCCUUCUGGCCUGACACUGACACUGAGGUGCGAAAGCGUGGGUAGCAAACAGGAUUAGAUACCCCGGUAGUC
rnacentral:rRNA from 1 species